rnacentral:rRNA from 1 species
AAGUUAAUCUUAGAUGCAAGCAAUGAACCUAAAAAUUUUGUAUAAAACAAAAAAAAAAUUAGUAGUAUUUGCUUAGAUAAACCAAUUAUGAAAAAAUGAAAAAGUAUCUAGGAUUAGACCCGAAGGCUAGUGAUCUUACCAUGGUCAGGGUUUUAAAAGCCCGAACGGGUUAUCGUUGUAAAGAUAUCCGAUGAACUGUGGUAAGUUAGUGAAAGACAAAACUGACUAGUAUA